rnacentral:rRNA from 1 species
UCAGGAUGAACGCGUAGCGACAGGCUUAACACAUGCAAGUCGAAGGGGCAGCAUAAAAGUAGCAAUACGUUGGUGGCGACCGGCGCACGGGUGAGUAACGCGUAUGCAACCUACCUAUCAGAGGGGAAUAACCCGGCGAAAGUCGGACUAAUACCGCAUAAAACAGGGGCACCGCAUGGUGAUAUUUGUUAAAGAAAUUCGCUGAUAGAUGGGCAUGCGUUCCAUUAGGUAGUUGGUGAGGUAACGGCUCACCAAGCCGACGAUGGAUAGGGGAACUGAGAGGUUGGUCCCCCACACUGGUACUGAGACACGGACCAGACUCCUACGGGAGGCAGCAGUGAGGAAUAUUGGUCAAUGGGCGGGAGCCUGAACCAGCCAAGUCGCGUGAAGGAAAAGAAGGAUCUAUGGUUCGUAAACUUCUUUUGCAGGGGAAUAAAGUGCAGGACGUGUCCUGUUUUGUAUGUACCCUGAGAAUAAGGAUCGGCUAACUCCGUGCCAGCAGCAGC